rnacentral:rRNA from 1 species
AACGUAGGUGGCAAGCGUUAUCCGGAUUUACUGGGCGUAAAGCAUGUGCAGACGGGUUGGUAAGUGGUGUAUGAAAGCGUUCGGCUUAACCGAGCAAGCGUAUGCCAGACUGCCAGUCUUGAGAGUGGGAGAGGGAUGUGGAAUUGCCGGGUGUAGUGGUGGAAUGCGUAGGAGAAUCCGGAGGAAGACACCAAAGGCGAAGGCGGUGUCCUGGGACGUAACC